UCAGUCCCAGGCAGGACAGAGCAUGGACAUGAGGGUCCCAACUCAGCUUCUCAGCGUCCUGCUGCUGUGGCUCCCAGGAGCCAGAUGUGAUAUCCAGAUGACCCAGUCUACAUCCUCCCUGUCUGCAUCAGUGGGAGACAGAGUCACCAUCACUUGCCGGGCCAGUCAGAGCAUUAGCAGUUACUUAAACUGGUAUCAGCAGAAACCAGGGGCAGCUCCUAAGCUCCUGAUCUAUAAGGCAACCAAUUUGCAAACUGGUGUCCCUUCGAGGUUCAGUGGCCAAGGAUCUGGGACAGAUUUCACUCUCACCAUCAGCAACCUGCAGCCUGAAGAUUAUGCAAUUUAUUACUGUCAACAAGGUUAUAGUACCCCUCUCACAGUGUUACAAGGCUGAACAUAAACCAUGAAGCAGACAGCUGAGAGUUGGCCACUCCAGCUGUUCCUCGUGGGCCUCCUUUGGCUGAGAACAAUUCUCAGAUGCACUCACUCUUUGAUGGUGACUGGAGGUUUGGGUAGAAGUGACCAGGGAGCCUCUUCUGCACCCUAACUCAUCUUGUCUCUCCUCAGCCUCAGAGGCACAUACAAAAUGUCUCCUGAUUUCAUAAAAAAACAGAUAUCAACACACAUGAGUGUCUGGGCUGCAGUAUUAGAGUUCAGUAAAUGAAAGAGUUGCCACUUUACAUACUGCAAGCAGAAAAUGCUUAAUAUAUGGAAUUAACUUCUAAAGUACAUUGUUUUAAAGGCCUUUGGAAUUAAUAACGGAGGAUGCAGAUAAUGGAAAUGUGGGAUUCCCUGGUGCUCCCCCAAAACAAGAGAAAAUAUGCCAUGGAGACAGAGGCUGUCUAACCAUGGGGCACUCAGACCUGUGUGGGAAGCCCAGGAGUGGUGGUGCUGAUGCUCUCUGCUCACCAGUCAUUGUCCAGUCCUCCACUCUGCCUGCAGGAACUGGUGGAUAGUAUUAAAUCCUCCUCUUCUGACUUCAAACAUCAGGGAGGGCCCCUCACUGAGCAACUCUAUAAGAAACCAUAGAGAGCAAAGUGGUUCUGGGAAAUGUGCUGCCUCAAUUGAGAGUGAUGAUGUGGAACUGACAGCAGGCAGUCUGAAUGGUCAUUCUUUUUACAUCUCUCAGAAUUUUGCCAGUUACAAUACAUUUGGCUGUGCUUUAAACCAUCAUCAUCAAGUCUGACUUCUUAACAAGAAAUCUUUGUUAAAUGAUUGAGAAAAUAGAAAAAUAAGGGAAA